UAGGGAAUCUUCGGCAAUGGACGAAAGUCUGACCGAGCAACGCCGCGUGAGUGAAGAAGGUUUUCGGAUCGUAAAACUCUGUUGUUAGAGAAGAACAAGGACGUUAGUAACUGAACGUCCCCUGACGGUAUCUAACCAGAAAGCCACGGCUAACUACGUGCCAGCAGCCGCGGUAAUACGUAGGUGGCAAGCGUUGUCCGGAUUUAUUGGGCGUAAAGCGAGCGCAGGCGGUUUCUUAAGUCUGAUGUGAAAGCCCCCGGCUCAACCGGGGAGGGUCAUUUGAAACUGGGAGACUGGAGUGCAGAAGAGGAGAGUGGAAUUCCAUGUGUAGCGGUGAAAUGCGUAGAUAUAUGGAGGAACACCAGUGGCGAAGGCGGCUCUCUAGACUGUAACUGACACUGAGGCUCGAAAGCGUGGGGAGCAAACAGG
rnacentral:rRNA from 1 species